rnacentral:misc_RNA from 1 species
AGCAGCCGCGGUAAUUCCAGCUCCAAUAGCGUAUAUUAAAGUUGUUGCAGUUAAAAAGCUCGUAGUUGAAUUUCGGGAUCAAUAUGUUGGUCGUGCCUCGGUACGUACUAGCUUAUUGGUUUCUCCUUUCUGAAGAACCAUGAUGUCAUUAAUUUGGUGUCGUGGGAAAUCAGGACUGUUACUUUGAAAAAAUUAGAGUGUUUAAAGCAGGCUCGCGCUUGAAUACAUUAGCAUGGAAUAAUGAAAUAGGACGUUUGAUUCUAUUUUGUUGGUUUCUAGGAUCGACGUAAUGAUUAAUAGGGAUAGUUGGGGGCAUUAGUAUUCAAUUGUCAGAGGUGAAAUUCUUGGAUUUAUUGAAGACUAACUACUGCGAAAGCAUUUGCCAAGGAUGUUUUCAUUAAUCAAGAACGAAAGUUAGGGGAUCGAAGACGAUCAGAUACCGUCGUAGUCUUAACCAUAAACUAUGCCGACUAGGGAUCGGAUGAUGUUAAUUUUUUAAUGACUCAUUCGGCGCCUUACG